rnacentral:rRNA from 1 species
AACGAACGCUGGCGGCAGGCCUAACACAUGCAAGUCGAGCGCACCCUUCGGGGUGAGCGGCGGACGGGUGAGUAACGCGUGGGAACGUGCCCUUUUCUACGGAAUAGCCUCGGGAAACUGAGAGUAAUACCGUAUACGCCCUUUGGGGGAAAGAUUUAUCGGAAAAGGAUCGGCCCGCGUUGGAUUAGGUAGUUGGUGGGGUAAUGGCCUACCAAGCCGACGAUCCAUAGCUGGUUUGAGAGGAUGAUCAGCCACACUGGGACUGAGACACGGCCCAGACUCCUACGGGAGGCAGCAGUGGGGAAUCUUAGACAAUGGGGGCAACCCUGAUCUAGCCAUGCCGCGUGAGUGAUGAAGGCCUUAGGGUUGUAAAGCUCUUUCAGCUGGGAAGAUAAUGACGGUACCAGCAGAAGAAGCCCCGGCUAACUCCGUG